rnacentral:lncRNA from 1 species
GUUGUCGCAAGCACACAAGGGUCUGACUUUGCCAUGGUAGUAACUAACCGGCAAGCAAAGUAGGCUGCUUGACCAGCCAAUAGCGCACACGACUUGGCGACUUGCUCGACAAAAGUCCUCAACGCCAACCAUUGGGUGGGAAUAUGAGUUUCAAUGGUUCUUUUCUUUAUUUUACUUUGUUAGUUUCGAAUGCUUUGGCUUUGUCUUGAUCUGUUAUAUAUUUGAACUGCUUACUUAUUUAGGUUCUUGGUGAAGAUGGAAUCUUGGAAGAGAUGAUUUUGAAUGUUCCGGGGAUCCAGCAACAGCAAGACAUCCUUCUAUCCUGUGCUAAAGUGUUUUAAUGAUUGAUCAAACAG